UCCAUCUGAUCCAUGGAAUCACAUAUUCACAGAGCAAACUAGCUCAUCGGCCUUAUCAUAUCCUUUUUUGGUGGAUAUUAGCAUCAAUUCAGAUCAGCGCUUCCUCCCCACAUCCUACAGGUGUGCGCCUCCCAAGGCUCAAGCGCCUCACCGUGGUGGUUGCGCACCAUGCCAUUAGUGCUAUGAGGACAUCACUUGUUUGGAUGCACCCACCGCUAUACAUGGACCAAUGACUAAAGCUUGAAGGAGGCAAUUAAACCUAAAGAAAAUUGAAGAGGGUCAUGAAGAGCUUGGAGAAAGGCAUGAAGGUGAAGAAGGCUAAUAACAUCCAAGUCAGGAGGGAAGUCUAGCUCAACCUAAGUUCAGAUUGGAGAAAGGUAUUAAGGUGAAGAAGUCUGCUAGGGCGUCAUGCAUAGUCAAGAGGAAGGUCUAGCUCAACAUGAGUUCUAGUCCAGCUCAGCCUCGAGGAAUAGCCAAAACUAAAACAGAUGCCCAGGAUGCAUACGAACUUGGUUUUUGACAUUCUACCUAUGGAUGGAAUGAUAAUUUCAUAAGAUAAGCAAUGGCAUUGGUCUUAAAUCAAAAUUCUCCAAAGUCAAUGGAUUAAACUUUGAAACAAGUCAGUAUUUAGAAUCUGUCAGGGUGCUGCGACACCGUCUUUUGGACUGUUGGGCCCUGUAUUGUCUUAGAGCUUAAUUAUUAGGGAGCACAUCCCGUGGGUAUGCACAUCCCCAAAGA